rnacentral:rRNA from 1 species
GAUGAACGCUAGCGGCAAGCCUAAUACAUGCAAGUCGAACGGGAUCUGAGGGUAGCUUGCUACCCGAUUUGAGAGUGGCGCACGGGUGCGUAACGCGUGAGCAACCUACCCAUAUCAGGGGGAUAGCCCGAAGAAAUUCGGAUUAACACCGCAUAAUAAUACGCUAACACAUGUUGAUGUAUUUAAAUAUUUAUAGGAUAUGGAUGGGCUCGCGUGACAUUAGCUAGUUGGUAAGGUAACGGCUUACCAAGGCGACGAUGUCUAGGGCUCUGAGAGGAGAAUCCCCCACACUGGUACUGAGACACGGACCAGACUCCUACGGGAGGCAGCAGUAAGGAAUAUUGGUCAAUGGGCGCAAGCCUGAACCAGCCAUGCCGCGUGCAGGAUGACUGCCCUAUGGGUUGUAAACUGCUUUCGUUAGGGAAUAAACCUUCUUACGUGUAAGGAGCUGAAUGUACCUAAAGAAUAAGGAUCGGCUAACUCCGUGCCAGCCGCCGCGGUAA